rnacentral:rRNA from 1 species
CAGGGUUCGAUUCCGGAGAGGGAGCCUGAGAAACGGCUACCACAUCCAAGGAAGGCAGCAGGCGCGCAAAUUACCCACUCCCGGCACGGGGAGGUAGUGACGAAAAAUAACGAUACGGGACUCAUCCGAGGCCCCGUAAUCGGAAUGAGUAUACUCUAAAUCCUUAUACGAGUAUCAAUUGGAGGGCAAGUCUGGUGCCAGCAGCCGCGGUAAUUCCAGCUCCAAUAGCGUAUAUUAAAGUUGUUGCGGUUAAAAAGCUCGUAGUUGGAUCUGUGUCCCGCACCGUCGGUUCACCGCCUGUCGGUGUUCAACUGGCGUGUAUGCGGGACGUCCUGCCGGUGGUGGUUCGGUUCCCCGUGGGUACGUAGGGGUUACGGUCUGGUUCGCCAGCUCCGUCCCCGAAGGCCUGCGUGGUGUAUCCGGCCGCCUUUUCAAUCCCGUCGCGGUGCUCUUUACCGAGUGUCGAGGCGGGCCGGCACGUUUACUUUGAACAAAUUAGAGUGCUUUAAGCAGGCCCUGUCCCGCCUGUAUGUUGUGUGCAUGGAAUAAUGGAAUAGGACCUCGGUUCUAUUUUGUUGGUUUUCGGAAUCUGAGGUAAUGAUCAAUGGGGACAGGCGGGGGCAUUCGUAUUGCGACGUUAGAGGUGAAAUUCUUGGAUCGUCGCAAGACGGACCGAAGCGAAAGCAUUUGCCAAGUAUGUUCUCGUCGAUCAAGAACGAAAGUUAGAGGUUCGAAGGCGAUCAGAUACCGCCCUAGUUCUAACCAUAAACUAUGCCUGCCAGCGAUCCGCCGAAGUUCCUCCGAUGACUCGGCGGGCAGCUUCCGGGAAACCAGAGCUUUUGGGUUCCGGGGGAAGUAUGGUUGCAAAGCUGAAACUUAAAGGAAUUGACGGAAGGGCACCACCAGGAGUGGAGCCUGCGGCUUAAUUUGACUCAACACGGGAAAACUCACCAGGCCCGGACACCGGAAGGAUUGACAGAUUGAGAGCUCUUUCUUGAUUCGGUGGGUGGUGGUGCAUGGCCGUUCUUAGUUGGUGGAGCGAUUUGUCUGGUUAAUUCCGAUAACGAACGAGACUCUAGCCUACUAACUAGGCGUACCCGGUAUCCACAAUCGUGCUACCGGCGAUCAAAUUUCUUCUUAGAGGGACAGGCGGCUUCUAGCCGCACGAGACUGAGCAAUAACAGGUCUGUGAUGCCCUUAGAUGUCCUGGGCCGCACGCGCGCUACACUGAAGGAAUCAGCGUGUCUUCCCUGUCCGAAAGGACCGGGUAACCCGCUGAACCUCCUUUGUGCUAGGGAUUGGGGCUUGCAAUUGUUCCCCAUGAACGAGGAAUUCCCAGUAAGCGCGAGUCAUAAGCUCGCGUUGAUUACGUCCCUGCCCUUGUACACACCGCC